UUCCCUAGCUCCUCCUUUCAACCAGAUUUCACAGUUUGAAGGAACUUCCUUUUCCACUGCAAGCAGAGUUUGAACCUUUACAAGAAGGGAACCAGGAAGAGGAGCUUGGAGUGGGCAAGGGGGAGGCUGACAAAGCAGCAGAGAAGACCUGAUUCAUCAAGUAUCAAUUAAAUGUUGGUGAUUCUCACCUGGUUGGCAUGCAUGCACAACAUAACAAGGGAUGAUUUACUCAUUGUACCAAUAUCAAUAGAAGAGUGUGGUGAAGGUGGACGAUAAGCCUCAGGGAAUGGUGGAGGGGAGGCCACAAGAAGUGAUGCAGAAGAUGGGGGGGCCACAGGAAUAGGUGCUGCCACAAGUGUAGCCAAGUCUGUAAAAGGUCAUUUAAAGGCUUAUACAUUUUAAAAACAUGGAGAAAGCAAUAAAGCUGUUAAACAUAA